rnacentral:rRNA from 1 species
AGAGUUUGAUCCUGGCUCAGGACGAACGCUGGCGGCGCGCCUAACACAUGCAAGUCGAACGAGAGAGGAAGAGCUUGCUUUUCUGAUCGAGUGGCGAACGGGUGAGUAACGCGUGAGGAACCUGCCUCAAAGAGGGGGACAACAGUUGGAAACGACUGCUAAUACCGCAUAAGCCCACGGCUCGGCAUCGAGCAGAGGGAAAAGGAGCAAUCCGCUUUGAGAUGGCCUCGCGUCCGAUUAGCUAGUUGGUGAGGUAAUGGCCCACCAAGGCGACGAUCGGUAGCCGGACUGAGAGGUUGAACGGCCACAUUGGGACUGAGACACGGCCCAGACUCCUACGGGAGGCAGCAGUGGGGAAUAUUGCACAAUGGGGGAAACCCUGAUGCAGCGACGCCGCGUGGAGGAAGAAGGUCUUCGGAUUGUAAACUCCUGUUGUUGAGGAAGAUAAUGACGGUACUCAACAAGGAAGUGACGGCUAACUACGUGCCAGCAGCCGCGGUAAAACGUAGGUCACAAGCGUUGUCCGGAAUUACUGGGUGUAAAGGGAGCGCAGGCGGGAAGACAAGUUGGAAGUGAAAUCCAUGGGCUCAACCCAUGAACUGCUUUCAAAACUGUUUUUCUUGAGUAGUGCAGAGGUAGGCGGAAUUCCCGGUGUAGCGGUGGAAUGCGUAGAUAUCGGGAGGAACACCAGUGGCGAAGGCGGCCUACUGGGCACCAACUGACGCUGAGGCUCGAAAGUGUGGGUAGCAAACAGGAUUAGAUACCCUGGUAGUCCACACCGUAAACGAUGAUUACUAGGUGUUGGAGGAUUGACCCCUUCAGUGCCGCAGUUAACACAAUAAGUAAUCCACCUGGGGAGUACGACCGCAAGGUUGAAACUCAAAGGAAUUGACGGGGGCCCGCAC